rnacentral:rRNA from 1 species
GUGGGGAAUAUUGCACGAUGGGGGAAACCCUGAUGCAGCGACGCCGCGUGAGUGAAGAAGUAUUUCGGUACGUAAAGCUCUAUCAGCAAGGAAGAAAAUGACGGUACUUGACUAAGAAGCCCCGGCUAACUACGUGCCAGCAGCCGCGGUAAUACGUAGGGGGCAAGCGUUAUCCGGAUUUACUGGGUGUAAAGGGAGCGUAGACGGUAUGGUAAGUCAGAUGUGAAAGCCCGGGGCUCAACCCCGGGACUGCAUUUGAAACUAUCAGACUAGAGUGCAGGAGAGGUAAGUGGAAUUCCUAGUGUAGCGGUGAAAUGCGUAGAUAUUAGGAGGAACACCAGUGGCGAAGGCGGCUUACUGGACUGUAACUGACGUUGAGGCUCGAAAGCGUGGGGAGCAAACAGGAUUAGAUACCCGUGUAGUCC